CGGCUCCAUCCCCUGAUUGCUACUAUACACCGACUCCAAAUAACGUCAUUGCCGCCAAGAUGUCUGCCUUCGUAUCUGGGAUAUUUUGGCUUCAUUUCUGGAUAGCGGGAGAAAGUGCAGACGCGUCAACCAUCUUUAUUUACGCUGUGCUAGCCUGCAGCGUUUUGCUAGCACACUCUGGUCUGUCAUCCGAAGGUGCAUUAGCGCAGUCAUCAAGCCGGACACAGUUGCAUAUAACACGCAUGCAGAAGCCUGCACAAGGCACAUACUCCCACUCAUUAUGGCUCAGGAUUACGCAUUAACUACUGAACCGAUUGACUUGUAAACCCGGGGGAGAGCUGGGGUGUGGGUCAACUUGUGAAGCACAUUCCCAAAAGGAGG